CCUACGGGUGGCAGCAGUGAGGAAUAUUGGUCAAUGGGCGCUAGCCUGAACCAGCCAAGUAGCGUGAAGGAUGACUGCCCUAUGGGUUGUAAACUUCUUUUAUAUGGGAAUAAAGUGCAGUAUGUAUACUGCUUUGCAUGUACCUUAUGAAUAAGGAUCGGCUAACUCCGUGCCAGCAGCCGCGGUAAUACGGAGGAUUCGAGCGUUAUCCGGAUUUAUUGGGUUUAAAGGGAGCGUAGGCGGGUUGUUAAGUCAGUUGUGAAAGUUUGCGGCUCAACCGUAAGAUUGCAGUUGAUACUGGCAGCCUUGAGUACAGUAGAGGUAGGCGGAAUUCGUGGUGUAGCAGUGAAAUGCUUAGAUAUCACGAAGAACACUGAUGGCGAAGGCAGCCUGCUGGACUGUAACUGACGCUGAUGCUCGAAGGUGUGGGUAGCAAACAGGAUUAGAUACCCCGGUAGUC
rnacentral:rRNA from 1 species